rnacentral:rRNA from 1 species
UACAGAGGGGGCAAGCGUUGUUCGGAAUUACUGGGCGUAAAGGGCGCGUAGGCGGUCAGCACAAGUCAGUUGUGAAAUCUCCGGGCUUAACUCGGAAAGGUCAACUGAUACUGUGCGACUAGAGUGCAGAAGGGGCAACUGGAAUUCUCGGUGUAGCGGUGAAAUGCGUAGAUAUCGAGAGGAACACCUGCGGCGAAGGCGGGUUGCUGGGCUGACACUGACGCUGAGGCGCGAAAGCCAGGGGAGCGAACGGG